rnacentral:misc_RNA from 1 species
CCCCCCUCACGCGCCCCGUUGCGCGCUGGUGUUGGGGCUCCUCCGCCUGGCGGAGGGCCCUGAAAGCGAGUGGCGGGCCUGGCUGGUUGGCUCCGAGCGCAGUACCGAACGCACCGUUCCCCCUCCCGCUCGCGGGCCCCGCCGGCGCCCAGCCGUCAAAACCGCAGCGCGCCCCGCGUGCGCUGCACUUUUACAA